AUCUUCGGGGCAGGGCGAAAUUCCCUACCGGCGGUUAUAGCCCGCGAGCUACAUUGUAGCAUGAUUUGGUGAGAUUCCAAAGCCGACAGUACAGUCUGGAUGAGAGAAGAG
rnacentral:ncRNA from 1 species